AGAGUUUGAUCAUGGCUCAGAACGAACGCUGGCGGCAGGCCUAACACAUGCAAGUCGAGCGGGGACUUCGGUCCUAGCGGCGGACGGGUGAGUAACGCGUGGGAACGUGCCCUUUGCUUCGGAAUAGCCCCUGGAAACGGGGAGUAAUACCGGAUGUGCCCUUUGGGGGAAAGAUUUAUCGGCAAAGGAUCGGCCCGCGUUGGAUUAGGUAGUUGGUGGGGUAAUGGCCUACCAAGCCGACGAUCCAUAGCUGGUUUGAGAGGAUGAUCAGCCACACUGGGACUGAGACACGGCCCAGACUCCUACGGGAGGCAGCAGUGGGAAUCUUAGACAAUGGGCGCAAGCCUGAUCUAGCCAUGCCGCGUGAGCGAUGAAGGCCUUAGGGUUGUAAAGCUCUUUCGUGGGGGAAGAUAAUGACGGUACCCCAAGAAGAAGCCCCGGCUAACUCCGUG
rnacentral:rRNA from 1 species